rnacentral:ncRNA from 1 species
AGCAAAGAUAAAAACGCAACGUGCAUCCGACAAGAUGUGCCAGAGCCGGUAGGUAGCCCGGCCGUCUCAUAUUAAUGAGGUAAGUAACCUGCCCUCCGGGUUGUCCAUUCUUUGUUCAUAA